GUGCUCGCUUCGGCAGCACAUAUACUAAAAUUGGAAUGAUACAGAGAAGAUUAGUAUGGCCCCUGCACAAGGAUGACACGCAAAUUCAUGAAGUGUUCCAUAUUUUU
ensembl:snRNA U6 U6 spliceosomal RNA